CCCUCUCUUCUCUUCCAUGCCCAAGAGUUGGGCAUCUCCUUUUCACAUGCUAAGAGGUAGUGCUUUGUGACUUCAAGAGUGAAGAUCGACGAGAAAAGAAGAAGGCUGCUGAUCAAGGUGUUGAUUCCACAGUCCAAAUCACGAUGUUGAUCAAAGUGCUCAAGGCUAAGAUUCUUCUUGAGAAGAAGAAUCUUAUACAAGGAGAGAUAAG
rnacentral:lncRNA from 1 species